rnacentral:rRNA from 1 species
AACGGAGGAUGCAAGUGUUAUCCGGAAUCACUGGGCGUAAAGCGUCUGUAGGUGGUUUAAUAAGUCAACUGUUAAAUCUUGAGGCUCAACCUCAAAAUCGCAGUCGAAACUAUUAGGCUAGAGUAUAGUAGGGGUAAAGGGAAUUUCCAGUGGAGCGGUGAAAUGCGUAGAGAUUGGAAAGAACACCGAUGGCGAAGGCACUUUACUGGGCUAUUACUAACACUCAGAGACGAAAGCUAGGGUAGCAAAUGGG